GAUGAAGAACGUAGCGAAAUGCGAUAAGUAGUGUGAAUUGCAGAAUUCAGUGAAUCAUCGACUCUUUGAACGCACAUUGCGCCCCUUGGUAUCCCGAGGGGCAUGCCUGUUCGAGCGUCAUUUCACCACUCAAGCCUGGCUUGGUGUUGGGCGACGUCCUCUUUGGGGACGCGCCUCGAAACGCUCGGCGGCGUGGCACCGGCUUUAAGCGUAGCAGAAUCUUUCGCUUUGGAAGUCGGGGCCCCGUCUGCCGGAAGACCUGCUCGCAAGGUUGACCUCGGAUCAGGCAGGGAUACCCGCUGAACUUAAGCAUAUCAAUAAGCGGAGGA
rnacentral:misc_RNA from 1 species